GACGAACGCUGGCGGCGUGCUUAACACAUGCAAGUCGAACGGAAAGGCCCUGCUUUUGUGGAGUGCUCGAGUGGCGAACGGGUGAGUAACACGUGAGUAACCUGCCCUUGACUUUGGGAUAACUUCAGGAAACUGGGGCUAAUACCGGAUAGGAUCUCCUGCUGCAUGGUGGGGGUUGGAAAGUUUCGGCGGUUGGGGAUGGACUCGCGGCUUAUCAGCUUGUUGGUGGGGUAGUGGCUUACCAAGGCUUUGACGGGUAGCCGGCCUGAGAGGGUGACCGGCCACAUUGGGACUGAGAUACGGCCCAGACUCCUACGGGAGGCAGCAGUGGGGAAUAUUGCACAAUGGGCGGAAGCCUGAUGCAGCAACGCCGCGUGCGGGAUGACGGCCUUCGGGUUGUAAACCGCUUUCGCCUGUGACGAAGCGUGAGUGACGGUAAUGGGUAAAGAAGCACCGGCUAACUACGUG
rnacentral:rRNA from 1 species